CCCAGACUCCUACGGGAGGCAGCAGUGAGGAAUAUUGGUCAAUGGGCUUACGCCUGAACCAGCCAAGUCGCGUGAGGGAAGACUGCCCUAUGGGUUGUAAACCUCUUUUGUCGGGGAGCAAAGAGAGUCACGUGUGACUCAUUGAGAGUACCCGAAGAAAAAGCAUCGGCUAACUCCGUGCCAGCAGCCGCGGUAAUACGGAGGAUGCGAGCGUUAUCCGGAUUUAUUGGGUUUAAAGGGUGCGCAGGCGGAGGUGCAAGUCAGCGGUCAAAUUGCGGGGCUCAACCUCGUCGAGCCGUUGAAACUGGGUGCCUUGAGUGGGCGAGAAGUACGCGGAAUGCGUGGUGUAGCGGUGAAAUGCAUAGAUAUCACGCAGAACUCCGAUUGCGAAGGCAGCGUACCGGCGCCCAACUGACGCUGAAGCACGAAGGCGUGGGUAUCGAACAGGAUUAGAUACCCCUGUAAA
rnacentral:rRNA from 1 species